AAAUUGAAGAGUUUGAUCAUGGCUCAGAUUGAACGCUGGCGGCAGGCCUAACACAUGCAAGUCGAACGGUAGCACAGAGAGCUUGCUCUCGGGUGACGAGUGGCGGACGGGUGAGUAAUGUCUGGGAAACUGCCUGAUGGAGGGGGAUAACUACUGGAAACGGUGGCUAAUACCGCAUAACGUCGCAAGACCAAAGAGGGGGACCUUCGGGCCUCUUGCCAUCAGAUGUGCCCAGAUGGGAUUAGCUUGUUGGUGAGGUAACGGCUCACCAAGGCGACGAUCCCUAGCUGGUCUGAGAGGAUGACCAGCCACACUGGAACUGAGACACGGUCCAGACUCCUACGGGAGGCAGCAGUGGGGAAUAUUGCACAAUGGGCGCAAGCCUGAUGCAGCCAUGCCGCGUGUAUGAAGAAGGCCUUCGGGUUGUAAAGUACUUUCAGCGGGGAGGAAGGUGUUGUGGUUAAUAACCGCAGCAAUUGACGUUACCCGCAGAAGAAGCACCGGCUAACUCCGUGCCAGCAGCCGCGGUAAUACGGAGGGUGCAAGCGUUAAUCGGAAUUACUGGGCGUAAAGCGCACGCAGGCGGUCUGUCAAGUCGGAUGUGAAAUCCCCGGGCUCAACCUGGGAACUGC
rnacentral:rRNA from 1 species